rnacentral:rRNA from 1 species
ACACAUGCAAGUCGAGCGGUAGCACAGAGAGCUUGCUCUCGGGUGACGAGCGGCGGACGGGUGAGUAAUGUCUGGGAAACUGCCUGAUGGAGGGGGAUAACUACUGGAAACGGUAGCUAAUACCGCAUAAUGUCGCAAGACCAAAGUGGGGGACCUUCGGGCCUCAUGCCAUCAGAUGUGCCCAGAUGGGAUUAGCUAGUAGGUGGGGUAACGGCUCACCUAGGCGACGAUCCCUAGCUGGUCUGAGAGGAUGACCAGCCACACUGGAACUGAGACACGGUCCAGACUCCUACGGGAGGCAGCAGUGGGGAAUAUUGCACAAUGGGCGCAAGCCUGAUGCAGCCAUGCCGCGUGUGUGAAGAAGGCCUUCGGGUUGUAAAGCACUUUCAGCGGGGAGGAAGGCGAUAAGGUUAAUAACCUUGUCGAUUGACGUUACCCGCAGAAGAAGCACCGGCUAACUCCGUGCCAGCAGCCGCGGUAAUACGGAGGGUGCAAGCGUUAAUCGGAAUUACUGGGCGUAAAGCGCACGCAGGCGGUCUGUCAAGUCGGAUGUGAAAUCCCCGGGCUCAACCUGGGAACUGCAUUCGAAACUGGCAGGCUAGAGUCUUGUAGAGGGGGGUAGAAUUCCAGGUGUAGCGGUGAAAUGCGUAGAGAUCUGGAGGAAUACCGGUGGCGAAGGCGGCCCCCUGGACAAAGACUGACGCUCAGGUGCGAAAGCGUGGGGAGCAAACAGGAUUAGAUACCCUGGUAGUCCACGCCGUAAACGAUGUCGAUUUGGAGGUUGUGCCCUUGAGGCGUGGCUUCCGGAGCUAACGCGUUAAAUCGACCGCCUGGGGAGUACGGCCGCAAGGUUAAAACUCAAAUGAAUUGACGGGGGCCCGCACAAGCGGUGGAGCAUGUGGUUUAAUUCGAUGCAACGCGAAGAACCUUACCUGGUCUUGACAUCCACAGAACUUAGCAGAGAUGCUUUGGUGCCUUCGGGAACUGUGAGACAGGUGCUGCAUGGCUGUCGUCAGC